rnacentral:lncRNA from 1 species
AUGCUCCAUUUUGGAGUGAACAGAACACGGAAAAAAUUGCUCCAUGAUCCUCAGAAAAGAGGCUGGGAUAUGGUUCUGGCCUCCCACACAGCCUACAGGGCCAGGGAAGACAUCUCCAUGUUACAACACCAAAUGUGGCCUUCUGCAGGAGUUACAGCUGAGAAAAAGGAAUGCUUCUUUUCAGUUAUGGAACCACCUUUGGUCUUUAAGAGAGCUUACUUCUUACUUCAUUACCCUUGGUCAUCUGGCUCAAUGCUCAACAAUUCAGUGCUGUGGAGAAUAAAACUACAGUCUGCAAUACAUCUUAAUUACCAACAGUUUUUAAGCAAGUGCAUAAGGAACUUUUCAGAAACUUUUCAUACACUAUCAUUCAAUCGCUAUUGUGAAAGGAUCAGUCCAGCCCCAAACCUCAGGAAGAACAGAAAUCAACCAGAAAUCAACUGUACUUUACUUUAA